ACUUUUAGCACCUUUGGUAGACUGUUGUUUUCUUGAAAAGGUGAAAAGAUUUAACUUUUAAAUGCAUAUCUUGAGAAGAAUAAUGAAGCUAAUGGAGGGUGUAGAGAAUGUGUCCUGUGAGGAGCAACUCAGGAAACUGGGGCUUGUUAGCCUGGUGAAAAAGAAGCUCAGAGGGCUCUUAUUACUCUCUACAGCCUCCAAGGAGGUUCUAGCCAGGUGGGGAUCAUUCUCCCAAGUGACAGGUUAAAGGAAAAUUACUUCAAUUUGCACCAGGGGUGGUUUAGAUUGGAUAAGGAUUGGAUUAGGAAAAAUAUCUUCACCAAAGGCCUUGUCAGGCAUUGCAACAGGCUGCCCAGGGAAAGGGUAGAAUCACUCUACCAUGCCUGGAUGUGUAAAAGACAUUUAGGUGUGGCAUUUAGGGACAGGGUGGUGAAAUUGACAGUGCUGGGUAAAUCUUUGGAGUCAAUGGCCUUAAAGAUCUUUCCCAAUUCUAUGAUUCUAUCAACUUACCAGUGAACCUAAUUACUACUCAGUGGCAGUCAUUGAACUGGUGUCAUAGUUCGUACUUGUUAAGUACUUGUAAAGUUCAAUAUGUGCUGUACAAGUUGUGACAAGGACUUGUGUUCUGGCCCAGUUUGUACAUUGAUGGUGUGGAAACUGCUCUGAUCUACUGAGACAAGACUUAGAUUGCAAAAACCUACUGAAGAAAGGGGAAGAUGAAGAUUACAGAAGAAAGUUACUAAAGAAGAAAUGUGGAGGUGGGAGCAAUGACACAGAAAGUGAGUACAGGUGAGAUCUAGGGGUAAGAGUGAAUAAGCCAUGUGAGGACUCUGUAAGAGCUCAGGGAAUCUGGAGAAGAAAGGAAGGAAACAAUUGAAUACAAAGCAGAGGAAAAAUGAAAAAUGGCACUGGAAACACUUUUCAAAACAGUUCCAUGCAUCCUAACUUCAAGCAGCAGGGUGCAGUUCGUUGCAUGAAGAUGAAACAGGCUCCAAAUCUAUUGGCAGGAUAGGACCAAAGAACUGACUUAAAGUGUUGCACGUUCUCCUUUCUUCCUUUGCAUUUUUCUUCUGAUCUUGAAAGAAGCAGCACUUGCUAGAUCACAAUGACCCUGAUAAAUGGAGCAGCAUCUUGCUCAUGGAUCAUGUACCGCAUUAUCCAAUGUGCUAAUUAGUUCAGAUACCUCGCCUAGCAGUGCCAGAUGUUGUGGGCUCUGAGCCUUUCCCAUAGCUCUGGAUCUGGCUUGCACUGUUGUGUUGGGUAUCACAUCCUGAGUUCAGCUCUUAUCAGUGCUGUCUUACAGACAGUACAGAAUUUGUGCAUUUCAGAAAAAAAAAAAUGUAUCCUGAGGUGAAUUUCUUACUAAGGGGCGUGUGGGAUGCUGUUCAGUGAAGGUAACUGGACUAAGGGAAAGAAUAGAAUAACUCAGGGAAACUGCAACUGCCAUGAAAAGGACAGCACAGAAAGGGAACACAGCUGAUGGAGUAGUGACUGUUGUAAGAAUCAGAAAAGUUUUUUGCCUAUUGAGAGGGAAGGAGUUGAGAAAGAGGAAAUUGUGUGAACUUGAACGUAAUCAAAGGAUGAGGUUGCCUGAGUUAGCCUUUGUUUGGCUGUGUGCAGAGUAAGAAGAAUCUCAAGAUGCUUAUUGUGGUAAACACACUGGUAUGUUUGUUGAAGAGGAGGCUCCUGUAAAAUUAAGUUUAUGCUGUCUCCAGAUGGAGAUUGUUUCCAAAUGUUGCAAAGAGGAAAAACAGAUUUUGGGUUAUUUUCCAGUCAUAAGUGUCUACCCUGACAGUUCACCUUGGGGUAGGAUGUAAUUACUUGAAAAGGGUGAUUUCCUGAGCUUGCAUGUGAAGCCUUUUAGGUAUGCUUGGAGGAAGUCAGGGUUAAGAAGCUGGAAAAAAAAUUGGUUUUGAGGGUUUUUUUCCUUCUUUACACUAAAAGGGGGAUGAAAUCUGUGCUUGACUCAUUGAAGUUGCAAAUAUACCCAUGCUAAGACUAGUGAAUUAGUUUUAAAACUACUUUUUUCAUUUGUGCAAUGCUAUGAUAACUAAAAUAGCUGCUGUUGCACACUGCCUCCUCUGUAUAGGCUUUGUUUCUGAACUCACCAGCAUUCAGCUCUGUCACAGAUGUGUGAGGGCUGUUCCCCUCCAUGUGUGGCAUCCCUGCAGGUGGAGAGCCAGCCAGCAAAUCUCCUGGAAUUACAAAAACUUCCCUGUUGUUUGCAGAAAUGGAUCUCCUGAAUAAACAUGAGCAUCUGAAGUGUAUUACCAAGUGAAGUAACUCCACCACAAGUGGCAUUAUUUUCAUAAUUGCCCUAAUCACAUGAAAGAGACCAGUCAAGUCAUUUUUCGUCAAGCUGAGAUGCAAAUUAUUAUUAAGAAGGUCCAUGGAGCCAUACCAGUGCAUCACAGCUGGACUUGGAGACUUCGAUCACAGAGCAGAGGUACCUCUGCAGCUGCUCAGGAAGCCCCACCACUCCUAUGCCUCCUUUAUUUGCAACCAGAUUCUGGUGUUAGGGAAAAAGGGAAAAUCACCUCUCUUCUUCUCCUCCAAAAAAAGGACUCUUUAUUAAGGCCCUGAAAAGGCCAUGAGUUAUUUUCUGUUAACUUUUUUGAGGUACAGGACCAAGCCUUGAUCAGUUUCAGGUUCCUUUGAACACCUUUGCUGCCAUUACUCAUUCAUCACAGCACUGCAUCUCUGUACUUAGUAGAUUAUGGACUUAAUUUUGGAAAAUCCAGAUGUGUUUUGUAAUUUUGUCAACAGGCAAUCAGCUUUGGCUGCAAAUACUGUUCCUAAAUGUGUGCCCUGAUGGGAAAUGGCUUUUUAUGUGUGUUUUCUCCUUUGACUUGUCAAAGCUUAAUCAGUGGUCGAUUCUUAUGAAUAGGGCACUGAUGUUUCUGAUGAAAGAAACAGGUUAUGCUCCAGCUGCUUCUUUGAAGUACUUUACUCUCUGGAUUAUUGUCAGACCUUCUGUAGGGUCAGGAGAAGUUUUGCUGCUCUUUGCACAGUAACUGAUUUCUGCCAAGCACUGUGACAUGUUACAGAGAGCCGUGUUUACAUCUGUGGAGAGUCAGAUGGUGAAUCAACUGUAUGUUCUUGACAGAGAAACAUAUAUGGUUGUGUUUCCUUCUACAAGUGGGUGUUGAAGAGAAAAGGAGGUAAAAUAAAUCCCAGUAGGUGAGCACAACCAAUGGUUUUUAGAGAGGAUGAAAAGCAGGACAGCACUUGUGUUCCUUGGGUGCUUCUGAAAGAAAUAAUUGCUGCCUGCAUUGCAUAGUAUAUGUCCACAAGAUCAGUCCUGGUUGUUGGCUGUCUGACACUGAAAAUAGACUGUACCUUUUGUUACUGAGUGUGUCAACCAUUUCUGCAUUUUCCCUGAACAAGUAGGAGGUGUUUAGGCAGAGUUGAGAUCUAUGUAUGCUCAGUUCUUUUUAAGGCUUUUUUUUAGCAUAAGUCAGGUAGCUUUGAGCAAUUCUCCUUUGACUCAUUAGCUGUCAAAAGCAAAUGGAAGGCAUAAAACUGUUUCUUUCAGAGAAGAGGAGUGUAGCUGCAAUACAAUCUUCCUCCAUAUGGAAGCAUCCUUCACAUCAACCCAGGCUUAUGCAUGAGCAAGCCCUGACACAUAGCAUGACAUAUCCACCUUGAGCCCUGGGGGCAAUUUUGGGCACCACAAUACAAAAAAGACAAUAAAUUAUCAGAGUGUCCAAAGGAGGGCAACCAAGAUGAUGAAGGGCCUUGAGGGGAAGCCAUGUGAGGAGUGGCUGAGGUCACUUGGUCUGUUCAGCCAGGAGGAGAGGAGACCUCACCGCAGUUACCACUUCCUCAUGAGGAGAAGAGGAAGGACAGACACUGAUCUCUGCUCUGUGAUGACAGUGACAGGACCCCUGGGAAUAGCCUGAAGAUGUGUCAGGGAAGGUUCAGGUAGAAUAUUAGAAAAAGCUUUUGGCUCAGAGGGUGACUGGGGAGUGGAACAGGCUCCCCAGAGAAGUGGUCACAGCACUGAGCCUGACAGAGUUCAAGAAGAGUUUGGUCAAUACUCCUGGGCAUAUGGAAUGAUUCUUGGGGAUGGAACUGUGCAGGGCCAGGAGUACAACUUGAUGAUCCUUGUGGGUCCCUUCCAACUCAGCUUAUUCUGUGAUAUUUAUAAUAAGACAGGAAAAUACAUUAAGAAUAAUAAAGUUGUGUAAACAUGAUGUGCUAUGCUGGUUUCAGCUGGGCUAAUUUUUAAUUUAAUUGUAAAAGACAUUUGAGAUUCAACCGUGCUAAAUAAUAAAACAUUCUGUUUUAUAUACACAGAUGAUGGUCCUUAUGUUUUAUAUAUAUAUGCUUUAUUAUACACAAUGCAGUGAUAUGUAUAUUGGGAAAGAGGAAAUCAAUCUGUGUUUGAGCUUUGGUGUAGUAAGUCCUAAGGUGGCUCUAUAGCCAGCAGUAGGCCAGUGUUGUACUACUUGUUACAUUGCUUGAAUGAAAUUAUUUUGAUGCAGAAGUUUGGAGAUAAAAAAGACAGUCUCUGGCUGGCAGGAGGUGGUUCCUGGAGGAAAAAAAAUGAAGGGGAGAGACACAAUUACAAUUCAAAAUUGUCUUGAUUAGUUGCAUGAGUGAUUUGAAAUCAGUGAGAUGAAAUUUAGUUAAAUUCAGGUGCUCAAUACAUGGGAGUAGAUGUGUGUUUGUAGGCAGGCAGGGAGCAUUAAAAAUACAACAUGUUGAGUUACUGACUGGGUGAUGAUCUUAUAAUAGAUCACAAACUAAAUAAGGAUCUGCAAGAGAGGGAUAAAUCUAAUUUUGGGAUUUAUGAACAAGAAGAUGAGGGACAGGAAGCAGGAGGUGAAGCCACAGGUGAAAUAGAAAGUCUGGUUCUGUACACCAUGAUUUAAAAAAGAAGGCUGCAGGAGAUUCAUAAAAAUUAUUAGAUAUUUAAAGAUCAAAGGGCAUGAUCUUCAGGUGAUAUAAAUCACUUCACGCUCAAAACCUCCCAAAGAACUGAACUGAUUCACACCAGCUGAGGAGCUGAUUAAAUUACUUAUUUUUUAAAUUUUCUUUUUAAUCUAACCUUAACAGUAGCAAUUUACAUUAAGUUCUCAGUGACAUCAGGUUUCCCUCAGGGCUUACAGGAAAGAAUUAUUUGAGUGCCAUAAUUUAACUCUCUCUUCUUUCAUUUUUAUUUUAAACUGUGCUAUAGAUUUUUUCACUUUCUAUUUUAUCAUUAUUUAAAAAUGAGCACAGUUAAAAUGGAAAAGGGAAAUAAUUUUUAAAUACAAGACACAAUUAACCUCUGAACCUUACUGUCUCUUGAUAUCACUGCUGCCAGAAGCUUAAUAGGAUCAAAAGAAGGGUAAUAGAUAAUGAGAAAAUCUCCUGAUGUAUCAGAGGAGAUUAAAAUAAAAAAGACUGUAGGAAGGAAAAAAGCACAAAAGGCGAUGUGCUUUAAGAAAGAAGGCACCCUUCAUAUAUCUGAAUGGAGGAAGCUGGUUUCUCAAACCUCGUGUGCUCCUUUGGUUGCCCUUAGUGGGCUUGUCUGACUUUGAAAGAUCUCCUGUUAACCCUUGUCAGAUGGAGAAUGAGUCUCCUAAUGGUGCUUUUCCCUAAUCUGAAUUCUGUGCUCCUGCAGCUAACCCCUGUAAAGGUGACUUGAAAGGGCUAUUAAAAAAAACACCAGCAAAGGAAAGCUUCAAUUUUAAUCUGUGUAUUCAUGUCUGUCUGCUGAACAUGGUCUGUUGUUUCAACAUUCUUUAUGUAGCUAUGUGUUUAAUUUCCCUUAGAGGCUGAAUUGAGGAAAGGUUUCUCCAAGGUUUUAUCUAGGAAAAGGUGGACAUCAAUAAAGAAAAUAAAAAAAGAAGAAUGCAAAAGCAUUGCUUGGGUACUUAGGUACAAAAUUAUAAAUGACAAUGCCUAGCUACAGCUAAAACUAGUAGGGAAUAUUAAGGAUGGUAAGAAAUAUCUUUUGUAAGAUUCAAAAAUUAUGCCAGUUACUGAUGGAAAUUAAGAACAAGAAGUGUUGGUUAAAAAGAGCCUAAUGAUAGACAGUGGGGAGAAAACUGAAAUUCUCAAGACCUUUUUUUCUCCCUAUUCACAGGCAAACUUGCUCCCAGGCUUGCCUAUAUUCUGCCAUAGUUUGCCAUAAGGAGAUGGUAACCAAGAGGUGGGAGCAACAGGUUAGAGGCUGGUCAGAAAAGCUGAUUUUCUAGAAAUCUGUGAAGGUUUUUAGGAUUCACCUGAGGGUGCUGGUGUGGUGGCUAUGAAGCUGCUGUCUGUCAUUUAUCAAAACUCAGGGAAAACAAGACAGACAGGAAAACAAAAUUUGGAACUACUGCCCUGCAUUCUUAAUGGAUGGCUUUCUCAGCAAGGUUUUGUGGAUCCUCAAUGGAGCUGAUUUAAUACCAUGAUUAAAUUUUUGUAGUUCUCUUUUCCCCUCAAGCCUACAUGUUGCUCUCAGGAAUUGCCAGUGACUCAUUUCUAAUAGCUUAAUGCUGUUGGAGCAACAUUCCAGUGACAAGAUAUGUAAGCUUCAGCUGAUUUCUCCUAGGAAAUGUUAUCUUCUGAAAGGAGAAACUACUUUUUCACCCUUACUGGCUCUUUACAGUGAUCCUUCUUAGAUCCUUCCUUGGAAUAAACAAAUUAUGUAAGAAUUAAAUAGACCAAAAUGGAAUACUGAGAGGAUUUUUACUUCUGUAUUUUUUAAGGUGCAAGUUAAACAUCAGAUGUGGGAUGAUUCUGAUGUAAUCUCAGCUUAAUAGAAGUGAGAAGCAGUAAACUGAGUUGGAUUUUUUGGUUGAAUUUAUAGAUCCUAUGCACAUUUUAAAAUUUUUGUAGCUUCUUUCACACUUUCUAACCUGAAAAGCCUUUCCAAGCCAUUUCAACAGCAUCACAAAAUAUUUUUGAAUCAUCUUGCAAUUAUUUGAGCGAUAUGUUCAUGCUUCUUCUAGGUUAUGGGAAAAUCAUGUCUGUCAAAUCCCUGCUUUUUGGAAUUUCCUCCUUUCCUGUGAGACUGAGCCAAAAAGGUGUGAUUUCAAUGAUUUAUGAUAAUGGAGAAUCUGGCCCAAUCUGUUUUUCUUAUACACAGAAUAGAGUUUGUGUGUCAUUUAUGCUGUGGUCUUUUCUUAAAGCUCUUUGCAAAUAAGUGUCCCAAGGCAGAGAAAAGAAUGGGUUAAGCUGAAGGGACCCAUCUGUUUCAAUUUCAAGUGUUACUUUAAAGGUUUGAAAACUUUGUAAAUGUCAUGGUUUUCUUUUUGUGGCCCUUAGCUCAAUGGGAGAUGUCAUCAGAUGACAAUGAGCUUCAAGCUGGUUUCCUAUUACUUUUGGCAGGUUGUUCAUUAAGCUAUAAUGAAUUGAUAGAACCGAGGGCUGUAAAAGGUCUGUGACUUUCUUCCAAAGAUGUACUCUGUCUUGAUUUGAAGGUCUUGGGGCUUCAUCACUCUUGCAGUUGAAAAUUAGUUGAGUUUCCAAUUUGAAUGUGUUCAACUUGACCUGUAUUCCCUUGCUUCCUUGUUUUCCUGGAAUGACUCAGCACCCUUGUAGGUCUCUUUUUGAAAAGGUAGGCAGUAUGGCUUAAAUUUAUUUAUGGUUGUAUAUUCAGUUUUGUGCCAUGACUUUCCAGGACUGGAAGCAUCAUUUCCAUUUCAGUGCUAUCAAUAAAUGCACUGAAGUUUUCUCAGGUUCAUGUACUGAAGGAAUAUAAUAACCUUCUUUGUGUCUGUAUUAUUGAGACUAAUGAUAAUUCUCUUUAUCAUUUGUUUGUCCAUUUUAACUCCAGAUUCAUUUGAAGUCACUGCUUUGCCAAUACACCCUUCACUCUGCAGGCAGGAUUUGCACUUUUCUUUCUAUGGGUAUAAUGUAAAUGUGAUUUUAUUAAAAUAUUUUGUGGGCUUAAUUGUUUCAUGUGCUGAAUUACUUCAGAUCAUUCUAUAUAACUCUUCCAUCUUUGCUCUUUAUCAUCCCGCCUGUUUUUGUCAGCUGUAAUUGUUCUAAGAUUGCAUUAGCCUCAUUUCAAAAUCGUUUAUGAAGAUGUUAUAUAUUCCAAAAUCCAGUGCCAAUCCUGAGGGAUCAUAUUUAAAUUACUUGAGUUCCAUCUUGUUUUCCCUUUCAUGACUAUUUCUAGGGGUUCGUGGGCCCCUUUUAGUUCACUUAUUAUGUGCUUUAUUAAUAAAGCAUAGUGUUGAUUUUUAGAUCAGAUGAUCAGUUGGUUAUGCAUAAGUCAAAUGCCUUAUAAAAGUUUAAAUAUAUCCUCACAGAUAUCUUUUUUUAAAGAAAAUUUUGACCUUAUCACAUAAGUAAAUAAGAAUUGGUCCAUAAGAUCUGCUUUCUAUAAAAACAUCAUCCCUGGCUGUAAUUUUAUACCAACAUUGGACUUAAAUGAGAAUUUUUCCAUGUUAAAUUAACUGGCUUGUAAUCAUGCUGAGUGUCUUACCUGCUUUUCCUAAAUGUAUGGGCACCAAUUAGCAAUCUUCUGAAUUUGUUAAAAAUAUGCAGCAGAGGCAGUUACCUUGUUAGGAAACUGUAGCCUGUCACUGAAGUGUAAGAAAAAUUUUGAGUGUGUUGUCAAAAUAUUUUAUCAUUUAAAAAGGCUAAUCUGGAGAAAUUAUUUUUGUCACAAGAGACCUUUUUUACUUUAAUACUGUUUUCAGUGGAAGAAAAAAUAAAAUGAAGUACUAUUAGUUAAUAGUUAAUGUGUUUGCUUGAUAUGAGCUUAAUCAAAGCAUCUCCUUCACUCAAUGAAAUCCUUUGUCUCAUGCAAAUAAAGCAAAUUAAAUAUAAUUUAUAUCAAAUCACUAGUUGAAGUGCCAUGACAAAACAGGAAGCAGGAGGAUGAUAUAAUAAUUGGUUUUGUCCACAUUUUCAUGCCCCUCAGAAGUCAAAUCAACCUGUGUAUGAUUGAAAUUCAGAGCAUGUGUCCUUGGUUCAAGGACAGAUUGAGCAUCUGGUAAGAGUGG